UUAUCUUUGUUCCAUACUGGUUUUCUUGUUAUCAUCCGGUACAAGAAAUAAAAGGGAAUCGGGUGAAAAUCCCGGACAGUCCCGCUGCUGUAAGCUUCAUAACCAGAUCCGGACAAUACUCCUGCCACUGUCUGCAAUAUGUACGACGGGAAGGCGUCCGGAGAGAAGCAAGUCAGAAGACCUGCCAGUAACAGCAAACGUCU
rnacentral:ncRNA from 2 species